UCUUUGUCUCCUCUCUAGAUGUCAUGAAGGCUAUGUUGGCCGGCGUUGUGAUUGCAGGAAAGAUGAAUUACUUGGUUCAGAAGCUCUAACCCUAGCAAGUGGGUCCUUCUGCAGUUGUGACAAUGUUGCCUGUGAACGACAUAAUGGGCAACUCUGUGCAGGUAACGGGCAGUGCAGGUGUGGUCAUUGCCAAUGCCAGGCCAAUUACACUGGCAAUGCAUGUGAGUGCAGCCUGGAUACCAGUGGAUGCACCCAAGAGGGCAAGAUCUGCAAUGGGCAUGGCCACUGCGUCUGCAACCGAUGUCAGUGUGACGUUGGGUGGUUGGGCAGCCACUGUGUUGACCACCAGAUGCCCUGUGAGGUGCACAGGGAUUGUGCGGAGUGCAAGGCUUUUGGAACUGGACCACUAAGUCAGAACUGUAGCAAUUCCUGCAGCCAAACGGUGAGAAUGUUGGUGGCACCCGUGGAUGAGAGAUGGUGCCAGAUGAAGAGAGGAGAUGGACACCUCCUCAUUUAUCUCAUUGAGGAGGACAAGAC
rnacentral:lncRNA from 1 species